rnacentral:rRNA from 1 species
UUAAGCGACUAAGCGUACACGGUGGAUGCCCUGGCAGUCAGAGGCGAUGAAGGACGUGCUAAUCUGCGAUAAGCGUCGGUAAGGUGAUAUGAACCGUUAUAACCGGCGAUUUCCGAAUGGGGAAACCCAGUGUGAUUCGUCACACUAUCAUUAACUGAAUCCAUAGGUUAAUGAGGCGAACCGGGGGAACUGAAACAUCUAAGUACCCCGAGGAAAAGAAAUCAACCGAGAUUCCCCCAGUAGCGGCGAGCGAACGGGGAGGAGCCCAGAGCCUGAAUCAGUGUGUGUGUUAGUGGAAGCGUCUGGAAAGGCGCGCGAUACAGGGUGACAGCCCCGUACACAAAAAUGCACAUACUGUGAGCUCGAUGAGUAGGGCGGGACACGUGGUAUCCUGUCUGAAUAUGGGGGGACCAUCCUCCAAGGCUAAAUACUCCUGACUGACCGAUAGUGAACCAGUACCGUGAGGGAAAGGCGAAAAGAACCCCGGCGAGGGGAGUGAAAAAAGAACCUGAAACCGUGUACGUACAAGCAGUGGGAGCCUCUUUAUGGGGUGACUGCGUACCUUUUGUAUAAUGGGUCAGCGACUUAUAUUCUGUAGCAAGGUUAACCGAAUAGGGGAGCCGAAGGGAAACCGAGUCUUAACUGGGCGUUAAGUUGCAGGGUAUAGACCCGAAACCCGGUGAUCUAGCCAUGGGCAGGUUGAAGGUUGGGUAACACUAACUGGAGGACCGAACCGACUAAUGUUGAAAAAUUAGCGGAUGACUUGUGGCUGGGGGUGAAAGGCCAAUCAAACCGGGAGAUAGCUGGUUCUCCCCGAAAGCUAUUUAGGUAGCGCCUCGUGAAUUCAUCUCCGGGGGUAGAGCACUGUUUCGGCAAGGGGGUCAUCCCGACUUACCAACCCGAUGCAAACUGCGAAUACCGGAGAAUGUUAUCACGGGAGACACACGGCGGGUGCUAACGUCCGUCGUGAAGAGGGAAACAACCCAGACCGCCAGCUAAGGUCCCAAAGUCAUGGUUAAGUGGGAAACGAUGUGGGAAGGCCCAGACAGCCAGGAUGUUGGCUUAGAAGCAGCCAUCAUUUAAAGAAAGCGUAAUAGCUCACUGGUCGAGUCGGCCUGCGCGGAAGAUGUAACGGGGCUAAACCAUGCACCGAAGCUGCGGCAGCGACACUAAGUGUUGUUGGGUAGGGGAGCGUUCUGUAAGCCUGUGAAGGUGUGCUGUGAGGCAUGCUGGAGGUAUCAGAAGUGCGAAUGCUGACAUAAGUAACGAUAAAGCGGGUGAAAAGCCCGCUCGCCGGAAGACCAAGGGUUCCUGUCCAACGUUAAUCGGGGCAGGGUGAGUCGACCCCUAAGGCGAGGCCGAAAGGCGUAGUCGAUGGGAAACAGGUUAAUAUUCCUGUACUUGGUGUUACUGCGAAGGGGGGACGGAGAAGGCUAUGUUGGCCGGGCGACGGUUGUCCCGGUUUAAGCGUGUAGGCUGGUUUUCCAGGCAAAUCCGGAAAAUCAAGGCUGAGGCGUGAUGACGAGGCACUACGGUGCUGAAGCGACAAAUGCCCUGCUUCCAGGAAAAGCCUCUAAGCAUCAGGUAACAUCAAAUCGUACCCCAAACCGACACAGGUGGUCAGGUAGAGAAUACCAAGGCGCUUGAGAGAACUCGGGUGAAGGAACUAGGCAAAAUGGUGCCGUAACUUCGGGAGAAGGCACGCUGAUAUGUAGGUGAAGCGACUUGCUCGUGGAGCUGAAAUCAGUCGAAGAUACCAGCUGGCUGCAACUGUUUAUUAAAAACACAGCACUGUGCAAACACGAAAGUGGACGUAUACGGUGUGACGCCUGCCCGGUGCCGGAAGGUUAAUUGAUGGGGUUAGCGGUAACGCGAAGCUCUUGAUCGAAGCCCCGGUAAACGGCGGCCGUAACUAUAACGGUCCUAAGGUAGCGAAAUUCCUUGUCGGGUAAGUUCCGACCUGCACGAAUGGCGUAAUGAUGGCCAGGCUGUCUCCACCCGAGACUCAGUGAAAUUGAACUCGCUGUGAAGAUGCAGUGUACCCGCGGCAAGACGGAAAGACCCCGUGAACCUUUACUAUAGCUUGACACUGAACAUUGAGCCUUGAUGUGUAGGAUAGGUGGGAGGCUUUGAAGUGUGGACGCCAGUCUGCAUGGAGCCGACCUUGAAAUACCACCCUUUAAUGUUUGAUGUUCUAACGUUGGCCCCUUAUCGGGGUUGCGGACAGUGUCUGGUGGGUAGUUUGACUGGGGCGGUCUCCUCCUAAAGAGUAACGGAGGAGCACGAAGGUUGGCUAAUCCUGGUCGGACAUCAGGAGGUUAGUGCAAUGGCAUAAGCCAGCUUGACUGCGAGCGUGACGGCGCGAGCAGGUGCGAAAGCAGGUCAUAGUGAUCCGGUGGUUCUGAAUGGAAGGGCCAUCGCUCAACGGAUAAAAGGUACUCCGGGGAUAACAGGCUGAUACCGCCCAAGAGUUCAUAUCGACGGCGGUGUUUGGCACCUCGAUGUCGGCUCAUCACAUCCUGGGGCUGAAGUAGGUCCCAAGGGUAUGGCUGUUCGCCAUUUAAAGUGGUACGCGAGCUGGGUUUAGAACGUCGUGAGACAGUUCGGUCCCUAUCUGCCGUGGGCGCUGGAGAACUGAGGGGGGCUGCUCCUAGUACGAGAGGACCGGAGUGGACGCAUCACUGGUGUUCGGGUUGUCAUGCCAAUGGCACUGCCCGGUAGCUAAAUGCGGAAGAGAUAAGUGCUGAAAGCAUCUAAGCACGAAACUUGCCCCGAGAUGAGUUCUCCCUGACCCUUUAAGGGUCCUGAAGGAACGUUGAAGACGACGACGUUGAUAGGCCGGGUGUGUAAGCGCAGCGAUGCGUUGAGCUAACCGGUACUAAUGAACCGUGAGGCUUAACCUU